CGAAUCAAAUCUGAUUCAUCUUCAGCAGUGUUUUGCAAGAUAUGUAUUCACAUAUCUUGCAAAACACUGCUGAAGAUGAAUCAGAUUUGAUUCGAAAUAU